rnacentral:misc_RNA from 1 species
GGAAAUAAAAGUCGUAACAAGGUUUCCGUAGGUGAACCUGCGGAAGGAUCAUUAUUUUAUAACCGAGGUGCGAGGGCUGUCGCUGACCCGAAAGGUCGUGCACGCCCGAGUGCCCUCACACACAUCCAUCUCACCCCUAUGUGCACCACCGCGUGGGUCCCCCUUUGGCUUGUUCGGAGGGGGGCUUACGUUUUCACACAAACUUUGUAUGCAGUGUAGAAUGUAUUUUUUGUUUUUGCGAUCACGCAAUCAAUACAACUUUCAACAACGGAUCUCUUGGCUCUC